CCGGCGACCGGCGCACGGGUGAGUAACACGUAUGCGACCUGCCCCCCGCAGGGGGAUAACCGGGAGAAAUCCCGACUAAUACCGCGUAACGCCGCGGACCUGCAUGGGUCUGCGGCCAAAGGAAGCGGAUUCCGGCGGGGGAUGGGCAUGCGGCGCAUUAGCUAGUCGGCGGGGUAACGGCCCACCGAGGCGACGAUGCGUAGGGGUUCUGAGAGGAAGGUCCCCCACACUGGUACUGAGACACGGACCAGACUCCUACGGAAGGCAGCAG
rnacentral:rRNA from 1 species